rnacentral:rRNA from 1 species
UACGUAGGGUGCGAGCGUUGUCCGGAAUUACUGGGCGUAAAGAGCUCGUAGGUGGUUUGUCGCGUUGUUCGUGAAAACUCACAGCUCAACUGUGGGCGUGCGGGCGAUACGGGCAGACUGGAGUACUGCAGGGGAGACUGGAAUUCCUGGUGUAGCGGUGGAAUGCGCAGAUAUCAGGAGGAACACCGGUGGCGAAGGCGGGUCUCUGGGCCGAUACUGACGCUGAGGAGCGAAAGCGUGGGGAGCGAACAGG